CCUACGGGGGGCAGCAGUGAGGAAUAUUGGUCAAUGGGCGGAAGCCUGAACCAGCCAAGUCGCGUGAGGGAAUAAGGCCCUACGGGUCGUAAACCUCUUUUGCCGGGGAGCAAGGGCCGGGACGCGUCCCGGCCCGGAGAGUACCCGGAGAAAAAGCAUCGGCUAACUCCGUGCCAGCAGCCGCGGUAAUACGGAGGAUGCGAGCGUUAUCCGGAUUUAUUGGGUUUAAAGGGUGCGUAGGCGGGCUGUUAAGUCAGCGGUAAAAAUGCGGGGCUCAACCCCGUCCGGCCGGUGAAACUGGGGGG
rnacentral:rRNA from 1 species